UGAGGAAUAUUGGACAAUGAACGAAAGUUUGAUCCAGCAAUAUCACGUGAAUGAUGAAGGUUUUUUUUUAUUGUAAAGUUCUUUCGAUGAGGAGGAUAAUGACGUUACUCAUAAAAGAAGUCCCGACUAACCUCGUGCCAGCAGUCGCGGUAAUACGGGGGGGGCAAGCGUUAUUCUACGUUACUGGGUGUAAAAAGUAUUAAGACGGUUUAAUAAGUUUCUUUUGAAAGCCUAGACUUCAAUUCUAGAAUUAAUUGAAAAUACUGUUAAACUAGAGUAUAUUAGGAGAUGGUUGUAUGUUUAGUGUAGAGUUAGAAUUCUUUAAUAUUAAAAAGACAUUCAAUUGGUGAAGACUACCAUCUAUAGUAUAACUGACGUUGAAAUACAAAAGCGUGAGGAG
rnacentral:rRNA from 1 species